UUGAACGCUGGCGGCAUGCUUUACACAUGCAAGUCGAACGGUAACAGGCCGCAAGGUGCUGACGAGUGGCGAACGGGUGAGUAAUGCAUCGGAACGUGCCCAGUCGUGGGGGAUAACUACUCGAAAGAGUAGCUAAUACCGCAUACGAUCUAUUGAUGAAAGCGGGGGACCGUAAGGCCUCGCGCGCUUGGAGCGGCCGAUGUCAGAUUAGGUAGUUGGUGGGGUAAAGGCUCACCAAGCCAACGAUCUGUAGCUGGUCUGAGAGGACGACCAGCCACACUGGGACUGAGACACGGCCCAGACUCCUACGGGAGGAAGCAGUGGGGAAUUUUGGACAAUGGGCGCAAGCCUGAUCCAGCAAUGCCGCGUGCAGGAAGAAGGCCUUCGGGUUGUAAACUGCUUUUGUACGGAACGAAACGGCUCUGGUUAAUACCCGGGGCUAAUGACGGUACCGUAAGAAUAAGCACCGGCUAACUACGUG
rnacentral:rRNA from 1 species